UUCAACCGGACGUGUGGAUCGGUUUGUUUUAAUAGAACAGAACCGAUUCAAAAGAACCGAUUCUUGACGAAUCAAACACCGUUGCUGCCCGCGUAGCAACACAGCUUAUCUAUGUUUACUCAACUGCGGCACUGAGGCGCUGCUCUAAUUAGCCUGAUCACCCACCUCCACAGCCCCAGCCUUCGCUCUCCCCGCAGGGAGGGGGAUUCCUGUGCCAGAUGGCGCCGCGUUCUCCACUCUCAAAGCCCCGCACCUGCCUACCCAACUCCCUCCAAGAACCACAUGCUAUCUACCAUCUCCAGUCUCCCCCAGGCUGGAGUACAGGGCGAGGCUAGAUCUCCGUAGAGGAAGCGGCGGUUGUCACGGAAAUAGCGUGGCUUGCCAAGCUAAUAGCCACCACGACCACAAGAGAAGUCCCGUCGUGGAAAAGGGGGAAAGAGGCACCAUCUAAUUCCAGCCGUUCCUGCUUCACAAGGCCCGAACGUCAGCUAAAUACAACCCAACGAAAACACACACACAAGACGAAGAUCUCCCAGCCAGAGUGAACUGUGACUGGAGGAAGAGCUCUGAUUAAAAGAAAACAGGUCAAAACUGUUCCCAGACACUGAUGCAUAUUCUUCUACAGUAGCAGCUAGCAUUAAAAAUCCAAACUUGACAUACAAGCACACUUAAGCUUUUAACAUACAAAUUCAUAUUAAGUAGUAUAACAGCACCAUAGCCCAAAGUUUUACACCCAGUUCUAAAAGGAAGUCAGCGGGUUACUGAGCCUUGAGAACCAUUUGCAGGCAUAUGGAAAUAAACUUCAGCAGGAAUGAAAGCCAUUUGUUGUAGGGGAGGGUUUAAGAAAAGCUAGACAGCUCCAUAAAACUCAAUUACUUAGCCUUUUUUUUUAACAGUUCCAGUGCUUUUGUUGUUUGGGAGCCCUUUAAUAUGCGGGUAGUAAAGAUAAAGAGAGAAAAGAAAAAGUAGGAGGCGACAGCCAAGUCUGAAGUGACUGAGGCCGACCUCAAAGUUUAAUUCUGACUCAGGCUGCCAAUUUGUAGCUGGGAUAUUUCAAAAACCGGCUGCUUUGAUAACUGGUUCACAGUUCUGUGGGCACUAGUUGUCAGUUAGGUGUGUUUUUCCCUUUUUCUAUCUCUAUCUAUUUAUUUCUUGCUGUUUUUCAAUUUCACAUUUCUUUUUGCUCUUCAUAAUGAAGGAAUGCACCCCCGAUCUGAUUCACUAUGAUGAGAAAUAGUUGAUAUUAGCUUAGAUUACAUUCUUAGUCUUAGGAGAGGAAAUUUGUCUGUCCAGUCUGUGCCAUACAUACAUUUGUUAAGAUCAAAAAAAGAAGAAAAAAUACAAUAUGAUUGCUAUCUUUAUUAUGAUAAAUUACACAAUAUAUUGCUUUAUAAAAACAGACUAAGACCAAGGUGGUGUUUACAAGAUAUCCAUUUAAAGAAAAUUUAAACAAUUUAAAUACGCAUUGCUGGUUUGUUGUGGGUUGAUUGUGGGCAGAGAUCAGUGCAAGCAGGAAACUCAUACACACAUGAAAGGUCCUCAGCAAACACUACUAGCUGUUGCUGCUCCUUUUAUCAAAGGAAGCAAAAACACAUAAGUUUCAGUCAAAGCAGUCAAUGUUGUACUAUAUCAUUAGAGCUGUACUGUACAGCUCUGGAUGUUAAUCAACAGCCGCAGUUAGUUUCUCCUCCAUGUUGUUUAAAAUCAACAGGACUGACUGAAGUCCCACCCCACACCGUCUCCUACUGGCUGACUCAUUGGUAAAUUAGACUGUGCUCUGUCAAAAGUUUAGCUUUUACACACUGUCAUGCGCUGGUGUCUGCUGUCCUUUUGGCAAGAGAUACCAAAAUGUCCUUGUGAAUAUAGUCUAGCUGUAGAAUUAAAAUAACAAGUGAAAAAUAACAAGGAGCUGAUUGGAUGUUAGCCCAUUAAGCCAUUAUGUCUUAUUUAUUUUAGCCAUUUGUUAUAGUUUUCUGCGUUUCUUAUUGCACUGAACAUAAAUGAUAAUCAUCUUAUAUUUAACAUUUUGUCACUACUGUUUACUGGUGAUUUGUGUCUAGUCUAACUUGUUAGCAAGCCUCAGAAAAGCUAAAUAUCAUGAUACCGUAUAUGAAGAUAUUCACAAUGGGCCUCAUUCACCAAUAUAUUCCUAAGUUUUUUUUUUAAACCUGUUCUUGAGGAAGGUCCUAAGAAAUAGUCUAUGUUAAAUUCAUGGCGUGUUUUUAAGCUGCAGAAUUGUUCGUACCUUUGUGCUCUUGAGUGUGUAGAUGCCGUUCUUACCUAUGAACAAAUCCCAAAUAAGUAAAUAUUGGUGAAUGUCAAAAUCUUUGUGAAAACUGCAUAAGUGGGUUUUAAGAAGAAAUUUCUUCCUAUGAACAGCUCGUGAGUGAGUCCCAACAUUAGCAUCAUGAUAUCAAAUUUUUUUCCACCAAAAAUAAGAAAAAUCCUGGGUCCAUAUUCAUGGAAAGUCACUGAGUGCUGAUUCAGGAACAGUUUUAACUCGCUUUUACUGCCAUAAUGGAUAGUAAUA